rnacentral:lncRNA from 1 species
UGAAAGUUAGAUGUGUGUUAAACAUCUUUUUUGUAAGUAAUUUUCAUGAAAAACCCUAAAAGGACCUUUUUGCAAAAGGUACAAAAUAUGUGGUAGAAAUGUGAAAUAGAGGAAUAUGUGGGCUAGUAUGAGUUUAUAAUACAUUCGGCUAAGCUUGGGUAUCUAAGGAAUUGCAUGUAUUUCAUUUUACGAGCCUAGGGACUAAGUUGUAAAUUUUUGAAAUGUUAGGGGCAAAAUGG